UGCCGGCGUCAUUGUCAGCUCCUUUUAAAUGUAUUAGCGGAACUAUGUAGGACCAGCUUCGGUUUGAUAAUACUUUAUCUAUGCUGUCGCUGAGAAACGUUUGUUCAGCUUCUAAUUGUCCCCUUAGUGGACUGUCUCCUUGCUGAGGCAUAACCUUGACUCUUGACCUCAAAUCAGGUAGGACUACCCGCUGAACUUAA
rnacentral:misc_RNA from 1 species